rnacentral:rRNA from 1 species
GACGAACGCUGGCGGCGUGCUUAACACAUGCAAGUCGAACGGAAAGAGAUGAAAGAGCUUGCUCUUUUAUUAAUUUCAGUGGCAAACGGGUGAGUAACACGUAAACAACCUGCCUUAAGGAUGGGGAUAACAGACGGAAACGACUGCUAAUACCGAAUACGUUCUAAGCAUCGCAUGGUGCAUAGAAGAAAGGGUGGCCUCUACAAGAAAGCUAUCGCCUUAAGAGGGGUUUGCGACUGAUUAGGUAGUUGGUGAGGUAACGGCUCACCAAGCCGACGAUCAGUAGCCGGUCUGAGAGGAUGAACGGCCACACUGGAACUGAGACACGGUCCGGACUCCUACGGGAGGCAGCAGUGGGGAAUCUUCCGCAAUGGACGAAAGUCUGACGGAGCAACGCCGCGUGAACGAAGAAGGUCUUCGGAUUGUAAAGUUCUGUGAUUCGGGACGAAAGGGUUUGUGGUGAAUAAUCAUAGACAUUGACGGUACCGAAAAAGCAAGCCACGGCUAACUACGUGCCAGCAGCCGCGGUAAUACGUAGGUGGCAAGCGUUGUCCGGAAUUAUUGGGCGUAAAGCGCGCGCAGGCGGUUUCUUAAGUCCAUCUUAAAAGCGUGGGGCUCAACCCCAUGAGGGGAUGGAAACUGGGAAGCUGGAGUAUCGGAGAGGAAAGUGGAAUUCCUAGUGUAGCGGUGAAAUGCGUAGAGAUUAGGAAGAACACCGGUGGCGAAGGCGACUUUCUAGACGAAAACUGACGCUGAGGCGCGAAAGCGUGGGGAGCAAACAGG